AAACGCUUUCCGUUCGUUUUAUGAUCGUAGAGUUUCACUAAACUCUUGGAGAAACUCCUAUUGUUGACUGGUGUAAAAUAUUCCAAGGCAGAACGUGUACUGGCAGCCAGUUCAAUCAUCAACGUUUGAAUCAUCCUCUUGGACAGUUAGGUCACUAGAAGAAGUCAGCAUGAAUCCCUUGAUCUCCGCAUUCCUGCUUGUAGUCCUCGCAGGGAUUCCUGCUUCCUAUGGGGAACUCGACGACGAGCCUACGUUUGUCCCUGCCAUUUUUCCGCCAGAUAGCCGUUCCGGUAUGUACCUUGGACCAAACCUACUUUAUCAAUCCAGCCAACGUAACCUGUACCAGCG